GCCAGCAGCUAUAUCAUCCUGCAGCUCUCAACUAGCUACUCACUAAAGCUAAGCAGGGUUGAACCUGGUCAGUACUUGGAUAAGUGACCCCCUGCGAAGCUAUGUUUGCUGCUGGAA
rnacentral:rRNA from 1 species